rfam:Enterospora canceri strain GB1 scaffold_21, whole genome shotgun sequence.
GCCUUUAUGGCUCAGUGGUAGAGCAUUUGUUUAGUAAACAAAAGGUCGUGGGUUCAAACCCCACUAAAGGCU